CCAGCCCACGUCACUGUAUUUUGUCGCGAAUUUCAAGCUCCUGGACUGGAAUGCUCCUGAUGCAGGACGAAUACAAGGUCAUUAUAGAUCUCCCAGGCAUAUGCAGUCCUCCUGCAGUAUGCCACAUAAUGCCCGAGAGAAUCCUGGGUCAGUCCUGGUUCAAAGCCAAUGACUGCUCUCAAAGUAAAGGUCUUCUCUUUUAGCUCCAGACUGGAGGGAAAUUCAAGCAAGGCAACUUCCUUGCAACUGCUGCCAAGACGGACAAUGGGAAGGAUUUUCAAUUGGCCUGAGGCAGAGAGAGUCAGGAAGGCUGAGUCCCUCUUCAGCAGCAGUCUGAAGAGAAGCCAUGCCACAGUGGAGAUGUGGCAUUGUGCAUCAAUUUGGAGAGCACCAGAGGUCAGGAGGACAGGUUUGAAUAUUUCCCCCAGCAGUUCUGCCCUCUGUGAGUAUACCUGUGGGUUCACACUCUGUGUUGUGAUGGUUUUCACCAGGUGGAGGAAUUGGUUCCCAUGUUCAUAGUUCAGAACAGUCUUUUCAAAUGAAAAACUUUCACAGAAAGAACAGCAUAAGCAUUGCAAGACAGAA